UACGGAGGAUCCGAGCGUUAUCCGGAUUUAUUGGGUUUAAAGGGUGCGUAGGCGGAAAUGUAAGUCAGUGGUGAAAUCCUGCAGCUUAACUGUAGAAUAGACGUUGAAACUGUGUUUCUUGAGUACAUUUGAGGUAGGCGGAAUGUGGUGUGUAGCGGUGAAAUGCAUAGAUAUACCACAGAACACCGAUUGCGAAGGCAGCUUACUAAACUGUCACUGACGCUGAUGCACGAAAGCGUGGGUAUCAAACAGGAUUAGAUA
rnacentral:rRNA from 1 species